GAUGAACGCUAGCGGCAGGCCUAACACAUGCAAGUCGAGGGAGAAGCCCUUUCGGGGGCAGAAACCGGCGCACGGGUGCGUAACGCGUAUGCAACCUACCUUUCACAGGGGGAUAGCCCGAAGAAAUUUGGAUUAAUACCCCAUAAUAUUAUUGGAUGGCAUCAUUUGAUAAUUAAAACUGCGGUGGUGAAAGAUGGGCAUGCGUCCUAUUAGCUAGUUGGAGUGGUAACGGCACCCCAAGGCUACGAUAGGUAAGGGUCCUGAGAGGGAGAUCCCCCACACUGGUACUGAGACAGGGACCAGACUCCUACGGGAGGCAGCAGUGAGGAAUAUUGGUCAAUGGUCGGAAGACUGAACCAGCCAUGCCGCGUGCAGGAAGAAUGCCUUAUGGGUUGUAAACUGCUUUUAUAUGGGAAGAAUAAGGCGUACGUGUACGUUGAUGACGGUACCAUAUGAAUAAGCAUCGGCUAACUCCGUG
rnacentral:rRNA from 1 species